UGCGCCCCUAUGUUUUAUAUUUAUAUUUGUAUUAUUUCCUAUAUAUUUAUAAAGUUCUCUUUAAGAGUUUCAACUGGUAUUAAUCUCUUUUUAGAGAGAACUGACUGUGAGUGCCAAAUGAAAAGAGAUGAAAAUCAAAGGUCCUGAUUCCUCUCCUGGCACCACCUUCUCAGCAUCACAGAAGCCCUCAGGAGGGCAAGUGCUGGGAAGGGUUCUGUGACAAUCAGUUCAAAGAAUGAGUACAUUCCAGACAUUCCAGACUCUCUCCAGAAGGUGGAGCUCUGGUAUACUUGGCCACACAAGCCCUUUCUCCAGGUUUACACAGACCAGUUCAUAAUAACCCACUGAAAAGACCUCAGGAGUACGAGCAAUACCAAAGGAAAGCUACUGUACUGACUCACAGUCGGUCUGCCAGCAAAGCAAAGAAUGGCCAUGGGUUGGUGCUGAGUCUCUGCUGAAGGCCUCUUUCAGCAACACUGGUGGGUCUGCCAUCCAGCUUUAUUUAAGUAAGUUAUCUCAGCAAGACAAUCCAGAAGGAAAAUCAUUCCCUGCAUGACCUGGACUUCUGGGGAAGCUGGGUACCAGAUGAGGCACAACCCCUGAUAACAAAAUGAAUACACAAAAAGGAGUUUUAGCAAAAUAAAGCCAGGAAGUAAGAGGAAAGCUGUCAACAUGUGCCUUGUGGGAGGCAAGGAUAGAGGCUGACCAGAUUGACCCAUCUGAGUACAGGGCAUCAAACUACCAACCUCAGGAAAACUCCCACCGCUGCACCACAGAGAUCAAGGUAUCUCUUAUACCCCAUUGUGAUCGCACUCACUUCCAUGUCAAGUAACAGAAGAGUGCAUGAUGAACUAUCGAGAUAUUAUAAAAAGUUUAUCAAUUUUACAAUUUUUAAACAAUCUGAGAAAAAAUGCUUAUGAUAUACUCUUUUAAAUGAAAGCAAGAUAUAAAAAUUGUAUAAUCUAUAUUGUCUCAACUAUGUCCAAAGAAUUAUAGAGAAAAAGACUGUCAAAAAGUACCAGCUAUGCUACUGAAUCAUACAAUAAAAAUGGUUAAAAUGGUAAA